rnacentral:misc_RNA from 1 species
AACGCACAUUGCACCCGCCAGUAUUCUGGCGGGUAUGCCUGUCCGAGCGUCAUUUCAACCCCUCAAGCCCUGGCUGCUUGGUGUUGGGGCAUAUCUGCAGCGCUGUUACAGCUGCUGCAGGCUCCUAAUUUUAGUGGCGGACCCGCCGAGGCUCCGAGCGUAGUAGUGUAUCUUCUCGCUUUAGGGCGCCGCGGAGGGCUUUCCCGCCGUAAAACCCCCACUAUUUUUAAAGGUUGACCUCGGAUCAGGUAGGAUUACCCGCUGAACUUAA